ACCCGCCGCCGCCGCCGCGCUGGGCCCGCUCCAGAGAGCCCUCACCUGGGACCGCUGGCCGCCCCGCCGGAUUCCUCCGGGCGGGGCUGGAAGGCCCGCGCCCACCUCCGCCCGGCAGCAUCAAAGUGGGAAACCGAGGCUGGGGGAGGUACAACCUUGCCUCCAGAUCCUAGUACAGGGCCUGGCAGGCAGAGGGUGCUGAAGUUGGCUGAUUGACUGAUGGACUGAGACCACGGAACUCUGAAAGACGGAACAAUUAGACUUGCAUCAUCUGGCCUCCUUUCCUCAUUUUUAGACAACGAAGCAAAGGAGCUAACAUUCAUGAAGCCUUGUUGGAUGCUGGGCACAUUGGCAAGUCCUCAGUGUAUGUUAGCUCUUUUCACCAUUAUCUGGGUCUGGGGUCCACAGUGGGCUGUGGGUGGGAGCUGGCUGCCUGUGGGGAGGGGGAGAAUAACAUUGAAAGAGGGCUGACCAUGCGCCAGGCUCUGUGUCACCUCUCUGAGUUCUGAAUGUCUUUGGGAAGCUUCUAGACUCUGAAGAAAGAAAUGGCUCUAAGGGUUGUAGGUUCUAAAGAUGACGGUUGGAAGUUUCAGAAGCCUGGAGGGGACCAUUCUGCCCUGAAGCAUUUCUCUCCAAAAACACUUUACUGAAAGUGACUGUCACUGAGCCUCUCUGAUGUGCCCCUGCUGUGAUGAAGGGCACUGAGAGAUGGGAUUGGAAAACGCAAUGAACCAGUCUUCAUGCUUGAUCAGUCAGAGAGGAUCUUCAGCCCUGCCCCUCGUCUCCACCUUCCGAACCCAGGAAAAGUCCACUGGUGGGAAUCCAGCUCUGGACGUGCGCUGACCAGAUGGGGUCACAGCCCUGCCACAUCCCAGCAGGGUGACUGUGACUAAAUCUCUUAACCUGUCCAGGCUUCAGCUUCUCCAUCUGCACAUUGGGAGACAUAACUCACAGACUGGUCCUGAGGAUUAAAGGAGAUAAUUCAAGCUCUUAGUAUAGUGCCCGGCCCCAAGAAAAAAUACAC